rnacentral:rRNA from 1 species
UGAGCAAUCUGCCCUUCUCUUUGGAAUAAGCGUUGGAAACGACGUCUAAUGCCGAAUACGACCUCCUUUCGCAUGAUCGGAGGUGGAAAGCUCCGGCGGAGAAGGAUGAGCUCGCGGCCUAUCAGCUAGUUGGUGUGGGUAAUGGCCCACAAGGCGACGACGGGUAGCCGGCCUGGAGGAGGGUGACCCGGCCACACGUGGGACUGAGACACGGCCCAGACCUCCGUAGGGGAGNAGCG